ACACCACCACACCUCCACCUACAUCCACACCUCCACCUACAUCCACACCUCUACUUAUAAACACCUCUAUCCCUGCACCAGCCUCUGUCCCUCUUCUUUUUCAUAUGUUAAUCUCUUUUGCAUCAGUCUGUGUUGUGGUUCUACUGGUGUUACUGGUUCUGCUGGUGAGACGAUGUGUUCACAGGAAACCUGAAGAGAGUGAAGCAGCUGCAGUUGAUCCAUCACAGAGAACUGAAUAUGUCAGUUAUUGACUAAAAACCAUCAGAACAUGGUCCAGACUUUAAACCAGAGCCAGACAUUGUCUACUCUUCACUGAAGUAGUCCACCAGUCCAACCACUGAUGUCCAGCUGCUGGUCUCUAACUGGUCCCCCCAGCACCUCAGACCAGAGGACAUCCACAUGCUAACAAGACUUCUGUGGGUUUCACAAAGGUCUCAGAUUGAAAACUGGACUUCUGGUUUGGUUGUGGCUAAAUGACACAUGCCUCUCUUAACUGAAGAAAACAAAGAAUAAAGACUAAACCACAACCUCAGCCUAAAAACAACCAGAGCACCAUCCAGUGUCUUUAAACCUUCUUUUAUUUGUGUUUGAGACUGAAGAGUUUUAUCUCUUUGUUUCCUCAGUCACCUAGAAAUCAACCAGCAGCCACUGGCAUGGUGAAAAAGUUGUAUAAUUGUUUCACUUUUCUGUGUAAAUUAAUAUAAUUGUCUGGUAGUAGUUCUUUGUGUCACUUUCACCUCUUCAAUUAAUUCUUUAAUAUUAAUAUUAAUAAAUAAGUC